rnacentral:lncRNA from 1 species
UAUAAAAAGUAAUUCGUGAAUAAUUUCAUGCAUUGGAAAAAUUAGAGUGGAAGAACUAUAGUUUUUAUUGACAAUAAUUAAGUAACCGUCUCUCCCUUUGGGAGAAAUUCCUGAAGCCUCUAUCGCCGGAGGUGUACCAAUGAGCAACUACCAACUGCAGUAGAUCCGAUGGCCACAUCGCGGAGCACAGAGUCAGUCGCAGAACCAACAGUCGACCGACGUCAAGAAGCCAUAAUAAGUAUGAUCCAAAUUGUUAGCUUUCGGCAAAGAUUUGAUUUGAUAAUACAUCAGUUUAUUUAUAUUUACAAUAAAAAAUAAACAUGUUUAGUUAA